UACGUAGGGGGCGAGCGUUGUCCGGAUUUAUUGGGCGUAAAGAGCGUGUAGGCGGCCAGGUAGGUCUGCUGUGAAAACUCGGGGCUUAACCCCGGGCCUGCAGUGGGUACGGGCAGACUAGAGUGCGGUAGGGGAGACUGGAAUUCCUGGUGUAGCGGUGAAAUGCGCAGAUAUCAGGAGGAACACCGGUGGCGAAGGCGGGUCUCUGGGCCGUAACUGACGCUGAGGAGCGAAAGCGUGGGGAGCGAACAGG
rnacentral:rRNA from 1 species